rnacentral:rRNA from 1 species
UCGCAAAUUACCCACUCUCAGAACAUUGAGGAGGUAGUGACGAAAAAUAACGAGACCGUUCUCUACGAGGCCGGUCAUCGGAAUGGGUACAAUCUAAACCCUUUAACGAGUAUCUAUGAGAGGGCAAGUCUGGUGCCAGCAGCCGCGGUAAUUCCAGCUCUCAAAAUGCAUAGAAUUAUUGCUGCGGUUAAAAAGCUCGUAGUUGGAUCUGUGCCAGGGAGUCGGUCCACUUUCGAGUGCGUACUGGCUAACCCAGGCUUUGUUUGCCGGUUUUCUCCUCGUCGGUCUUAACCGACUGCGGGGGGUGGCUGGCGAUUUUACUUUGAACAAAUCAGAGUGCUUAACACAGGCGUUUCGCUUGAAUGUUCGUGCAUGGAAUAAUAGAAAAGGAUUUCGGUUCUAUUUUAUUGGUUUUAUAGACUGAGAUAAUGGUUAACAGAGACAAACGGGGGCAUUCGUAUUGCUGCGUGAGAGGUGAAAUUCUUGGACCGCAGCAAGACGAACUACAGCGAAAGCAUUUGCCAAGAAUGUCUUCAUUAAUCAAGAACGAAAGUCAGAGGUUCGAAGGCGAUCAGAUACCGCCCUAGUUCUGACCGUAAACGAUGCCAACUAGCGAUCCGCCGGCGGAUAUUUCGCCCUGGUGGGGAGCUUCCCGGAAACGAAAGUCUUCCGGUUCCGGGGGAAGUAUGGUUGCAAAGCUGAAACUUAAAGGAAUUGACGGAAGGGCACCACCAGGAGUGGAGCCUGCGGCUUAAUUUGACUA